rnacentral:rRNA from 1 species
UACGUAGGGUGCGAGCGUUAAUCGGAAUUACUGGGCGUAAAGCGUGCGCAGGCGGUUGGUUAAGUCUGAUGUGAAAGCCCCGAGCUCAACUUGGGAAUGGCAUUGGAAACUGGCUGGCUAGAGUGUGGCAGAGGGGGGUGGAAUUCCGCGUGUAGCAGUGAAAUGCGUAGAGAUGCGGAGGAACACCGAUGGCGAAGGCAGCCCCCUGGGCUGACACUGACGCUCAGGCACGAAAGCGUGGGGAGCAAACAGG